rnacentral:rRNA from 1 species
GACGAACGCUGGCGGCGUGCCUAAUACAUGCAAGUUGAGCGCUGAAGGUUGGUACUUGUCCCAACUGGAUGAGCAGCGAACGGGUGAGUAACGCGUGGGGAAUCUGCCUUUGAGCGGGGGACAACAUUUGGAAACGAAUGCUAAUACCGCAUAAAAACUUUAAACACAAGUUUUAAGUUUGAAAGAUGCAAUUGCAUCACUCAAAGAUGAUCCCGCGUUGUAUUAGCUAGUUGGUGAGGUAAAGGCUCACCAAGGCGAUGAUACAUAGCCGACCUGAGAGGGUGAUCGGCCACAUUGGGACUGAGACACAGCCCAAACUCCUACGGGAGGCAGCAGUAGGGAAUCUUCGGCAAUGGACGAAAGUCUGACCGAGCAACGCCGCGGGAGUGAAGAAGGUUUUCGGAUCGUAAAACUCUGUUGGUAGAGAAGAACGUUGGUGAGAGUGGAAAGCUCAUCAAGUGACGGUAACUACCCAGAAAGGGACGGCUAACUACGUG